CAGGACAGAAAUUGGACGGCCGACAGACUUGGGUGCAGGGGAUGGCCGCACAGCCCAGUGUGCCCUCUAUGCAAUCAGGCUCUGGAGGCGGCUGUGCAUCUGCUCCUCCAUUGCCCGUUUGCCAAGGAGCUCUGGGUGGCCGCCAGGAGCACACAGCAGCGCGUCGCUAACAUUGCUCUGGGAGCAACAUCUAUUCGAUCCUGGUGGCGUAAGAUCAAUACAGGAACUGCAAGAGAGGCAAGGCAAGAGCAAGUAACAUUUGCCAUACACGUUGCCUGGAUCAUAUGGAAGGAAAGGAACCGACGGGUCUUCCAGGCGACAACCGCCCAGGCUCCUGCUCUGUUGCAGCUGGUGAUGGAUGAUGUUUCCCUCCUGAAGGAGGCCUUCCGCGAGUGGUCUCGUCAGGAAGUGGGGUAA
rnacentral:rRNA from 1 species